rnacentral:rRNA from 1 species
CGCAAGGUUAAAACUCAAAUGAAUUGACGGGGGCCCGCACAAGCGGUGGAGCAUGUGGUUUAAUUCGAUGCAACGCGAAGAACCUUACCUACUCUUGACAUCCAGAGAAUUCGCUAGAGAUAGCUUAGUGCCUUCGGGAGCUCUGAGACAGGUGCUGCAUGGCUGUCGUCAGCUCGUGUUGUGAAAUGUUGGGUUAAGUCCCGCAACGAGCGCAACCCUUAUCCUUAUUUGCCAGCACGUAAUGGUGGGAACUUUAGGGAGACUGCCGGUGAUAAACCGGAGGAAGGUGGGGACGACGUCAAGUCAUCAUGGCCCUUACGAGUAGGGCUACACACGUGCUACAAUGGUCGGUACAGAGGGUUGCGAAGCCGCGAGGUGAAGCUAAUCCCAGAAAGCCGGUCGUAGUCCGGAUCGGAGUCUGCAACUCGACUCCGUGAAGUCGGAAUCGCUAGUAAUCGUGGAUCAGAAUGCCACGGUGAAUACGUUCCCGGGCCUUGUACACACCGCCCGUCACACCAUGGGAGUGGGCUGCACCAGAAGUAGAUAGCUUAACCUUUCGGGGAGGGCGUUUACCACGGUGUGGUUCAUGACUGGGGUGAAGUCGUAACAAGGUAGCCCUAGGGGAACCUGGGGCUG